GUGGGGAAUCUUCCGCAAUGGACGAAAGUCUGACGGAGCAACGCCGCGUGAGUGAUGAAGGUCUUCGGAUUGUAAAGCUCUGUUAAUCGGGACGAAAGAGCCUAGUGUGAAUAAUGCUAGGAAGUGACGGUACCGGAAUAGAAAGCCACGGCUAACUACGUGCCAGCAGCCGCGGUAAUACGUAGGUGGCAAGCGUUGUCCGGAAUUAUUGGGCGUAAAGCGCGCGCAGGCGGAUCUGCCAGUCUGUCUUAAAAGUUCGGGGCUUAACCCCGUGAUGGAAUGGAAACUACAGAUCUAGAGUAUCGGAGAGGAAAGUGGAAUUCCUAUUGUAGCGGUGAAAUGCGUAGAUAUUAGGAAGAACACCAGUGGCGAAGGCGACUUUCUGGACGAAAACUGACGCUGAGGCGCGAAAGCCAGGGGAGCGAACGGGAUUAGAUACCCUUGUAGUCC
rnacentral:rRNA from 1 species